CUGUGGAUUAGCGGAGAGGGAAGGCACUUUCGUUCUCGGCACCGUGAGGCUGUCCUGGUCAAUCCUGUUUUCAUGCUUGAGGGUCUCUGGUGCAGCAGCUCCACCAGCCUUGACACCAGGACUUCUGUGGAAUCCAGGCGUCUUCUUAAGGAAGGAAGCCUGAAGGCAGUGUCCGCGUGAACACGAGAGGCCUCAGAUCCAGCAGCACAAGCCGUGCAUGAAAACACCAAAAGACUCACUGCAGGGAGCAAAGGCAGCCAGGCCCUGCCAAACCAGAGGGGGCCCCGGCACCGGCGGCCACAGAGCGCUGGGGGAGGCAUCGCACCCGAGGGCGCACACGCAGGAAAACCGGGAUCCAGGACUUCUCGAUGACUGCACAAGUACAGGCGCUCCCACAGACACUGGUAAAGAUUUUCAGUUGGGGAACAGGAGUGUGAGGCUUGUUACCGCCUGCGACCUACGCCUGGCUGACUCCAGGGGAAACCGCAGGAGUCACUGCAGGGAGCCCCUGGUCCGCUCUCCUCCUCCUCCUCCACCCUCCUUCCUCUCCCUCUGGCCUCUCCCUGUGCCCCCCAAAGGUCAGAUCAGAUAUGGGGCCUCAGCGUCCUCGUGCCUCCUGAUGGCCGUCAGGCCUGACCAAGGGUCCAAGCUGCCCCUUCCCGGUGGCCAGCCACGGUGGAAUCACACAGGGCCAGUGGCCUGAGAGAAAGAGACCAGCAGGAAGGAAAGAUCCUCAGCAACAAAGUAAAACCAGAACAACAGAGGACCUUUCUGUGUAAGAAUAUUUGGCUUUAGAAGGUAAAUAAAAUAAUUAUAUUUCUUAGAAUUUUCUGACUGACAUCCCUAAAUCCUGCAGGUAAAUUAUUCCCAACAAAUUUUCAAAAGGCAAUCAAUAAUAAGUAGAUUCUUCUUCAAUAAUAUGAGCAUAUGCUUC
rnacentral:lncRNA from 1 species